AGAAGCUUGCUUCUCUGAUGUUAGCGGCGGACGGGUGAGUAACACGUGGGUAACCUACCUAUAAGACUGGGAUAACUCCGGGAAACCGGGGCUAAUACCGGAUAAUAUUUUGAACCGCAUGGUUCAAUAGUGAAAGACGGUUUCGGCUGUCACUUAUAGAUGGACCCGCGCCGUAUUAGCUAGUUGGUAAGGUAACGGCUUACCAAGGCGACGAUACGUAGCCGACCUGAGAGGGUGAUCGGCCACACUGGAACUGAGACACGGUCCAGACUCCUACGGGAGGCAGCAGUAGGGAAUCUUCCGCAAUGGGCGAAAGCCUGACGGAGCAACGCCGCGUGAGUGAUGAAGGUCUUCGGAUCGUAAAACUCUGUUGUUAGGGAAGAACAAAUUUGUUAGUAACUGAACAAGUCUUGACGGUACCUAACCAGAAAGCCACGGCUAACUACGUGCCAGCAGCCGCGGUAAUACGUAGGUGGCAAGCGUUAUCCGGAAUUAUUGGGCGUAAAGCGCGCGUAGGCGGUUUCUUAAGUCUGAUGUGAAAGCCCACGGCUCAACCGUGGAGGGUCAUUGGAAACUGGGAAACUUGAGUGCAGAAGAGGAGAGUGGAAUUCCAUGUGUAGCGGUGAAAUGCGCAGAGAUAUGGAGGAACACCAGUGGCGAAGGCGGCUCUCUGGUCUGUAACUGACGCUGAUGUGCGAAAGCGUGGGGAUCAAACAGGAUUAGAUACCCUGGUAGUCCACGCCGUAAACGAUGAGUGCUAAGUGUUAGGGGGUUUCCGCCCCUUAGUGCUGCAGCUAACGCAUUAAGCACUCCGCCUGGGGAGUACGACCGCAAGGUUGAAACUCAAAGGAAUUGACGGGGACCCGCACAAGCGGUGGAGCAUGUGGUUUAAUUCGAAGCAACGCGAAGAACCUUACCAAAUCUUGACAUCCUUUGACCGCUCUAGAGAUAGAGUCUUCCCCUUCGGGGGACAAAGUGACAGGUGGUGCAUGGUUGUCGUCAGCUCGUGUCGUGAGAUGUUGGGUUAAGUCCCGCAACGAGCGCAACCCUUAAGCUUAGUUGCCAUCAUUAAGUUGGGCACUCUAGGUUGACUGCCGGUGACAAACCGGAGGAAGGUGGGGAUGACGUCAAAUCAUCAUGCCCCUUAUGAUUUGGGCUACACACGUGCUACAAUGGAUAAUACAAAGGGCAGCGAAUCCGCGAGGCCAAGCAAAUCCCAUAAAAUUAUUCUCAGUUCGGAUUGUAGUCUGCAACUCGACUACAUGAAGCUGGAAUCGCUAGUAAUCGUAGAUCAGCAUGCUACGGUGAAUACGUUCCCGGGUCUUGUACACACCGCCCGUCACACCACGAGAGUUUGUAACACCCGAAGCCGGUGGAGUAACCU
rnacentral:rRNA from 3 species